rnacentral:RNase_P_RNA from 2 species
UAAGUUGGUCGCUUUAUCGCGUUUUACGCGUUUUAUUAAAUGAGGAAAGUCCGUACAUCAGAGAGCAACACAAAUGGGUAAUUCCCUUCCCCUGCAAAGUGAGGACUAGUGCAACAGAAAGAAAGUACAGUUUGGCUGUAGUGAAAUCAGGGAAACUCUGUGCGAUGAAAUGCCGUGUAUACCGACGUUAAAGAUCUGCUCGAUUGUAGUUGGGGGGUAGGCAGUUUGAGAUAGAUGGGAACAUUUAUCCGAGAUAAAUGAUAAAGGUUCCUCUAAAAAAAAGGGGUAUACAGAAUACGGCUUACAGGCCAACUUUUUCA